AACAUGUCAUCCAACACGCAACCUGAUAGAGUCGGAGUGCCCGAUCUUUCGGUGAGUGGAGAUAAAUUUGACUUGGUGGAAGUAGACCCUCACGAUCCGACUACGACGAGCGAACCCGAAGCACCAAUGCAAUCACUGAACCAACUCCCUGUGGUUACCAACCUUGCCAGCGCAAGAUCAGCCGGAUCAUGAAGAUCCAUUCCUGUCUGCAAUCGAAGAACGAACAAGAAAAAGAGGCGAGCAAUCUAAAUAUCACUCGAAGGUGGAGUUCUGAAUCACACAAGGACAGCGCGUAUUUGCGUGUGUUCGAGAGUAGCUAAAGCUAGAUGUAAAACAAAACUCAAGUCGUAAACAAAAGGGACUCCGACUAAAUAAAGGGGGCGCAACCCCUGGAGUCCAGAGGAGGCGCCACGGCAAGAGGGGGGCGCGCGCGAGCAGGGGGAGGGCCGUGGCUCCCAACCCUAGGCGCCCCACCUGGGCUACCCUGUUGGGCCAUCUUCUUUUUCCGCUGGGCCUUCGUUCCUUAACAGCAUGAUGAAGUUUAAUUCUCUCGCACGGGCCCGAGUGAUUGGCUCAACUGGAUGAUCAACUGUAGGCGCCAGAGGUGGAGGAGCAACUGGAGGCGCCUGAGGUGCUACUGGUGUAGAUGUACUCGUGGUGUCCUCAUCAGGAACAAGGACAACAUGG
rnacentral:lncRNA from 1 species